rnacentral:rRNA from 1 species
AUUGAACGCUGGCGGCAUGCUUUACACAUGCAAGUCGAACGGUAACAGCACUUCGGUGGCUGACGAGUGGCGAACGGGUGAGUAAUACAUCAGAACGUGCCUAGUAGUGGGGGAUAACUACUCGAAAGAGUAGCUAAUACCGCAUGAGAUCUAAGGAUGAAAGCAGGGGACCUUCGGGCCUUGCGCUACUAGAGCGGCUGAUGGCAGAUUAGGUAGUUGGUGGGAUAAAAGCUUACCAAGCCGACGAUCUGUAGCUGGUCUGAGAGGACGACCAGCCACACUGGGACUGAGACACGGCCCAGACUCCUACGGGAGGCAGCAGUGGGGAAUUUUGGACAAUGGGCGCAAGCCUGAUCCAGCAAUGCCGCGUGCAGGAUGAAGGCCUUCGGGUUGUAAACUGCUUUUGUACGGAACGAAAAGCCCUCUUCUAAUACAGGAGGGUCAUGACGGUACCGUAAGAAUAAGCACCGGCUAACUACGUG